UAGGGAAUCUUCCGCAAUGGACGCAAGUCUGACGGAGCAACGCCGCGUGAGUGAAGAAGGAUUUCGGUUCGUAAAACUCUGUUGUUAGAGAAGAACAGCGCAUAGAGUAACUGUUAUGCGUGUGACGGUAUCUAACCAGAAAGCCACGGCUAACUACGUGCCAGCAGCCGCGGUAAUACGUAGGUGGCAAGCGUUGUCCGGAUUUAUUGGGCGUAAAGCGAGCGCAGGCGGUCAAUUAAGUCUGAUGUGAAAGCCCCCGGCUCAACCGGGGAGGGUCAUUGGAAACUGGUUGACUUGAGUGCAGAAGAGGGGAGUGGAAUUCCAUGUGUAGCGGUGAAAUGCGUAGAUAUAUGGAGGAACACCAGUGGCGAAGGCGACUCUCUGGUCCGUAACUGACACUGAAGCUCGAAAGCGGGGGUAGCAAACAGG
rnacentral:rRNA from 1 species